rnacentral:rRNA from 1 species
GACGAACGCUGGCGGCGUGCCUAAUACAUGCAAGUAGAACGCUGAAACUUGGUGCUUGCACCGAGCGGAUGAGUUGCGAACGGGUGAGUAACGCGUAGGUAACCUGCCUGGUAGCGGGGGAUAACUAUUGGAAACGAUAGCUAAUACCGCAUAAGAGUAGAUGUUGCAUGACAUUUGCUUAAAAGGUGCAAUUGCACCACUACCAGAUGGACCUGCGUUGUAUUAGCUAGUUGGUGGGGUAACAGCUCACCAAGGCGACGAUACAUAGCCGACCUGAGAGGGUGAUCGGCCACACUGGGACUGAGACACGGCCCAGACUCCUACGGGAGGCAGCAGUAGGGAAUCUUCGGCAAUGGACGGAAGUCUGACCGAGCAACGCCGCGUGAGUGAAGAAGGUUUUCGGAUCGUAAAGCUCUGUUGUAAGAGAAGAACGAGUGUGAGAGUGGAAAGUUCACACUGUGACGGUAUCUUACCAGAAAGGGACGGCUAACUACGUG